GGCUAGGGAUUUAGGGUCCAAGCGGAGCGUCGGUUGAUCCUCGAAAACCCUCGGCUGCUCGGUCUCAUCUUUUCCGUUUCGUCUCGUAGAAGAGAGAAAUCUUCUUCUCUCGUCCGAAGGCACUCGCAGGGCGACUAAAUUAAGGAUCUUGUUUGGGGCUUCGCAGUCGAUUUGGAAGUGGUUCUCUGAAUACAGAAUGGCCAAGCGCGAGAUAUCCAGCACUUUACGGAACUUAAAGUUCAUGCAAAGGGCCGCUCAGAGAGAGGAGAAAUCCAAGAAGGUAGAAGAGGUCAUACCUGAUGGGAACUUCCCAGCCACUGCUAUAAAAAAGAAAUGCAUUGUGAUCGUAGAGGGUGAUCCUCACCCAGGGGCAACAAAAGGCAGGAUGUCAUUUCUAAGUUUUAAUCCUUCUAUUGAUAAAUUGAAUGGUGAAGCAGCAAAUCCUGGUCAACCAGAAACCUCCACCAGCAAUCAAAAUGGAAGGACUUCUGAUAGAGAAAUUGGAUCAACUCAAGAUGGAAUGGAGAUUGACAGUUUCAGCAAAGAGGCCGAUGGAGAACUUAAAAGGAAGCAACCUGAAGUGCUGUCUGAAACAAAACAUCCGAAUAAAUCACAGAAAAAUGGGCAGAGUGGUCAAGAAUCUUCACAAAAUAAUAGUAAAAGUUCUCACAAGCAACCAAAACAUGGAAAGCUGGAUUGGAAUGUUCUUAGGCCUCCAAAAGGUCAAAAGCAACAAGAGUGAGUACCAUCAGGCAAUUAAAUUACUUUCAUUUCUUUCCUUUUCUUUUCUUUUCUUUUGUUUUUUUGCUGAAAGGGGAUUACUUUUGGAGUAAUGUGAAUUUAGUUUCUAUUUACUUAAAAGUUCUAAAGUUUUAUCCUUUAACUGGAUUGUAAGAAUAUUAUUAGCAUUUAAUCAGUUUUCUUAAUUGUCAUUCAAAUAUUGUUUACUUCAUCUGAAAUGGUAAAUUGAAUCCCCUUUGACCAUUCAUGAUACUUGGCUAAAUUGACUUUUGAGCCUAAGACUGCUUCACAACAAGUAAGGCGCCCCUAGAAAAACCCACCUCUCUCUGACACAUCACAAAAUAACGAGACAUCACAUGCAAACACACACACGUGCACAAAGGUGAGACAAUAGAGACCAGUUUUGACACCAUAAGUCUUUUGGUCAAAAAUGUUAGCUGAAGGUGACCUACUAGGUUCAUGGGACGGAGUGGUAUACCCAAAACCUUUCCAAUGAACUAUUGAUGUGGAAUUGAGGUGUGAUAAACUUCCGUCCUUUAAUACCUUAUCCUCAUCAAGUCUAAAAUCUCACAUCUCAAUUUGAACCCCGUUGGUCUCAAAACACUUUUCCUGGUUCGCACCCACUCGGUGGUGAUACCUGAUUGGCUUUAAUACCAAUUGUAAUGUCACGGAUCUUUACUCGAAAGUGCUAGUUGAAGGUGAUUAUUCAAUUCAUAGGACCAAGUAAUUUAUCCAAGACCUCCUGGUAAAUUGAUAAUAUUAGAUUAGGUCGUGACAGUCUCAUAACCUCCAUGACAAAAAUUGAUGGAAUUGGCAAAGUGGGAUCUCCCUGACUAAGGUCCCUAGAGCGAUUAAGGAGGCCUCUAAUGCCAUUGACAAGGACCAAAAACUUAACCGUAGAGAUACAAGAGUCAAUCCAUUUUCAUGACUCAAGACCAAACCCAAUGUUAUUAACAAUGAGAACUAGAAAUCCCUGAUUAACAUGUUUGUAGGUUUUCUCAAUUUCCAACUUGCAAAGGAGGCCUUUAGAGCCAGCCACCUUUAAAUCUCAUGUCUCAUUGGCCAAGAAGAGAAUAUUGAGAAUCGGAUAGACCCUCCAAAAGCAUUAUGGGAUUUGGAAAUCAAGGCCCCAUCACUUUCUUGAACCGAAUCGCAAGGAUCUUAGAGCAGAUUUUGUAGACACUACACCCUAAACUAAUGGGCUUAAAAUCUUUUAAGGUCCACUGCCCCCCUUUCUUAGGAAUAAAAGCGAUGAAAGAGGGAUUUAAACUAUUCUCAAAAACACCUAGAAUCAGAAAAUGCAAAGAGCGUUGCCAUCAUAAUCCUCUCAACAGUGCUUUUAAAACUGCUGCAAAAGGCCAAAGAAAACCUGUCAGAGCCAGAGCCUUGCCCCCUUUCAUACUCAAGCCCCGUAUAAUAAUGGCACCAAGGGUCCUCCCUCUGUACAGGGCACACAUGCCCGGGUAUGAUGAGUUGACUCAACUUUCCAAGACGAAGCCAAAGGUUAUACAAAGUUGAUUGAAGAAAAGUGGCACCUUCUCAGUUAUGCAGAUUCAAAUUGACAUAAUAUUUACCAGUCCUAAACAGUAGUGGGAAUGGAUUACUGUAUCCCUGUGACAGGCUUCCAACAGGAGAUAGUAUACAUGAUCCGACCCUUCCAUCCUUGCAGCAUCCAAUUGCCAUCCUCGCUCACUGAAAAAUCCUUGUGGUAAUAAGACUUCAACUUUGCCCUGGCAUCCUUCAAGAUUUCCUUGUCCAGUGGCAGCUGCCUGAGACCAGCUCGUGUGUUCCAGACUUGCCAUUGCUUGUAUUUAUUGGGCCGUUCUACUCUCUCCGUGCCCUCACAGGCUAUGAUGUUCAUGAUAUCCCUUCCAAAGAUCUCCUUCUCAAACAGCAUCCUGUCCUCAUCUUCACGUGGCACAGUAGCAUCCCACAUAUCAAAUCCUGCAUUGAAGUGGAAAAGUGCCUCCCUGAAUCGCGCAAGGAAGAAUGGAAGACUGUAUGUCCCGUUGAGAACUCCAUGGACAAACAUAUCAGGAUGGAUCCUCCUCACCAAGUUGAGAACUGCUUCCCUCGGGCUGUUUGCUGCCCCUAUCUCAUCAGUGUACUGGAACGGAACAUCGAAUCUCUGGCAGUAAGUUGCCAGCCUGUGCCCUGUCUCCUCAACCCUUUCUGCUGGCCUAAAACCUGGUUGGGGUAGGUCUAUUCCAGUGAUUUGAAGCUUGGGAGGACCACCGGGCCUGGCUGAAAGAUGCUGGAUAAGGCAGGGCCACUGGAAGCCAUACGUUAUGCCAAAAUGAAUGAUGUGAAGGCUUUUUGCUUCAAUAACUAGUUUUGCUAUGGAUCCAUUGGCAAACAAAUUGGAGAUCUUGUUGAAAGGGAUUGCCUUGACAUAUGCCUGGUGAGCUCUCAAAAUAUCAGCAACUGAUAUCCUCUUAGUAUUGAAGUCAGUGUACAGCGCUGCCCCAGUGCCUACCAACCUCGCUUCUAGGGCGUUGGCAAAAUAAUAAGCCAGUCUGUCAGAAGCAUUGCCAUUUGGAGAAGAGUGCUGCCUGAUAUGCUUCAAGAGUUUGCGAGCUGUCCUAGUAUCAGCAUUUGCAACAGCUUCUGCACACCGAGAUAGGGCAUUCGUCAAAUCAACGAGUUCCCUGCAGCUGCCUCGUUUCUUUCUGUGAGUCUUUCCUCCAUUUGAUCCCCCUCUAAGCCCUUUCUCCUCCAGCUUCAGAAUUGUUUCAUCAUUAUGAUCAUGAAGACACACCGGAGGCUCCUGAUUCAGAUGAGGGCUCAAGCGAGGGCAGAGUAACAACUUGUCAAGCAUUUCUGAUACGUCGCUCUGGUACGCUUCAGCAGAAUUAGCGAGUUUUUUGUUCCUCCGGCCACCAUCUACACAAUCUCCACCCUCCCGAUCAUGAGUUUUCUUUGUUUCUAAAUUUCUGUUAUUAUCUGCCACAAAAGCUCUUCUUGUAGUUUCCGAACUGGAAACAUUGGCAUAACCUGUUCUUGGAAGAAACUGUGAAACUUCUUCUGGGUUUCUUCCCUUGAAUAGCUGCCACACUGGUUGGCUCCCAUUGCAUGAAUGGGGAACCUGAAAUGGACUAACAAGAAGAGGGUCCAUAGAUACACAGCUUUCAAGUCUCUCUCCAUAAGUGGAAUUACCAUAGAAGUAGAAGUUGACAGAAGCGGAGCUGUAACUGCAUUCGGUACUGGUGGAAGAACUAGUGGUGUCGGGAGGAAUCAGAGCACCGUGAUCGGUGGUGGCGGCGGGAGCGGUCGUUGCUGAGCAUGAUCUUGGAACAUGCAGGGCUUUUCCUCCAAUCCAUCUUCUUCCAUGAGCAUCUGGUUUAUCAGCCUCAGGGUUGCGUCUUCCGGUGGAUCGGAGAGGAAUGGAAAAUCCAAGAAGCCAUGGUGAUUUCGGUUUCGCUGCACAAAAGAACAACAAAGUCCCUCGGCAAGGGCUUCCAUAGCCAUCUACGUCAAAGCAAGUGAUGGAGUUGAUGUGUGGAUUUAUAUAACAUUAAGAGAGACGCCUGAUCAAACAGCUAGAGACGAUCUCUACCAAGCAGAUUAUACGAAAGUUUUGCAAGAAAAUGGUGCCAGCCAUUAAAAAAUAUAAAUAAUAAUUUAAGUUGGCGGCGGACGGAUCUUAUGGAGGAGUUUAUGCUUAAUGGAAGAGACAGCAAAAGAAAAAGGAAAAAAAAGAUUUGUCCAUGCUUCUAUGAUAUCAAAGCAGUUGUCUGUUUGAUUAGUCAUGUCGUUACCUUCUCAAGAAAAAGAUGAAAGGAAAAAAAAAAAAGAA